rnacentral:rRNA from 1 species
UACGAGAGGCCCAAACGUUAUUCGGAAUUACUGGGCUUAAAGAGUUCGUAGGCGGCAUGAAAAGCAGGGUGUGAAAGCCCUCGGCUCAACCGAGGAAUUGCGCUCUGAACUGUCGUGCUUGAGGAACCUAGAGGUGAGCAGAACUGAUGGUGGAGCGGUGAAAUGCGUUGAUAUCAUCAGGAAUACCGGAGGCGAAGGCGGCUCACUGGGGGUUUUCUGACGCUGAGGCGCGAAAGCUAGGGGAGCAAACGGG